rnacentral:tRNA from 1 species
GGCCCGGUAGCCAAGCUGGCAAAGGCUCCAGGUUGCAACCCUGGGAUCGUGAGUUCGAGUCUCACUCGGGUCUCCA